AAGCACGGGGCGGGACGUCCACGGGAAGCGGCGCGCACGCCCGCCGACUCCCUCGCGCCAACCGCCGACGGCCGCCGCCCGGUGAAGGAGGGGCUCAGUCCUCCCAGGUCUCCUACGUCUGCCCCUGCCCGGCUCCCGGCGGCCCCAGCUGUCACCG
rnacentral:misc_RNA from 1 species